UGGGAGGCGUAGGAUCGAGUUACACUCGAUCUACUCCCUCCAUCUGUCCUUUAUUGCCAUCAAAAGGGAUAAAAUUCAAAUUCUUUGGGUUUCUCGGAUUUUUGGAGAAAAUUAGUAAGUAAGAAGAAGUUUCGAGAAUCCCUACAUAUAGAGGAUUUUUCGGAUAGACAGAGGAGGGGAAGGAAAAAUUAGGGUUUGGUUUUGGAGGUUUUGGAUUUUUGCUUUCUUAAUUUUUUUCGUUUGAGAUUCCAGAAAAAAGAUUAAAAAAAUGCAGUUCUUUCUUGUUCUUAAUUUUACUUCAAAAUAAGAAAAUUCAAAAAUAAAAAAAUCAGUUGGUUCGGUUUCAUUUUAUAUUUCAAAGUUGAAAUACACAAGGAAAUUGAGCAUGUUCGUUGGUUUUGAUUACCAAUAUGGAGAUUGCUUGAGGUGUCCGAGUUAGAGUUUCAAGCUGUCGGGCUCGGGGUUCGGUUCGUGGUUUCAAUCGAUUUUCAUUCCUACUUCGAGUUCGAUUCUAGUUGCGGUUUAUUAACUUCUUUGUAAUUGCAGGAAUUUUCGUUAAUCAAAGGCAAAUUUCAGCCAAUGUGACAUAUGCUUCUACACUGUACUUUGAGACGUUGACAUCAGAGGUCUGUCCAGUAUUGCAGUUUCUUAAAAGAGAAAAAACUUCUUAUCUUUUAAAAUGUCCUAUAAGAGAACGGGUUAAGCAGACUAUACUUGUAUAUUAAAAGGGAAAAAGUGCGCAUUUGAACUCCAAAUCAAGAUUGGAUCCUUGUAGUCCAAAUGAACAAUAAAAAUGAAACAGAAAACCACAUAUCAAUAUCAAGCUGGUGAGAUCAAGUGUGUGUAUGUGUGUGUGUAUAUAUAUAUGUUUUCAAUUUAUACUCUACCCUUUGUUGUGAUGAUUUAUAUAUGUACAUUUGAUUUUGACUUGUUUUAUACUGUCAAUGCACUGCAACUUUUAUCAAA